rnacentral:rRNA from 1 species
UAAUACGAAGGGGGCUAGCGUUGCUCGGAUUUACUGGGCGUAAAGGGCGCGUAGGCGGACAGUUAAGUUGGGGGUGAAAGCCCGGGGCUCAACCUCGGAAUUGCCUUCAAUACUGGCUGUCUUGAGUGUGAGAGAGGUGUGUGGAACUCCGAGUGUAGAGGUGAAAUUCGUAGAUAUUCGGAAGAACACCAGUGGCGAAGGCGACACACUGGCUCACUACUGACGCUGAGGCGCGAAAGCGUGGGGAGCAAACAG